rnacentral:rRNA from 1 species
UACGUAGGGGGCAAGCGUUGUCCGGAUUUAUUGGGCGUAAAGAGCGUGUAGGCGGCCAAGUAGGUCAGCUGUGAAAACUCGAGGCUCAACCUCGAGAUGUCGGUUGAAACCACUUGGCUAGAGUCCGGAAGAGGAGAAUGGAAUUCCCGGUGUAGCGGUGAAAUGCGCAGAUAUCGGGAAGAACACCCGUGGCGAAGGCGGUUCUCUGGGACGGUACUGACGCUGAGACGCGAAAGCAUGGGGAGCGAACAGG